AUUAGAGAGCUAUAAAUAGAUAUGAUGUGUUUCUUCGGGUAACAUAGAAUACCGUUUUACCCCCAAAGACUUCAGAUUAUGUUUCCUAAAAACAAGGUCAUUUAACGUCUCAACAAAUCUCCGAGAAAGAUCCUGCCUUAGCCCUCACAUUACAGAUACGGAAACAGGCUCGGAGGUGCAAUCUCUGGCUGUGUAGACAGAACAGGGAGUUGGAACUCGGCCUCAUGCCUUUCCUUCCUCACUCUCACAUACCAAGGGACAGGGAGAGAUCCGGGGAGGAGUUGCACUUGCCCCGGGAGGAAAUCUCCAAAAAUCUGCAAAAACGGAUUCCCUGGUACCGCUUUCCGCUCCUGUCCCAACAGAAAUUCCGAGACCGAAAGGGAUGCGCAUUGCGGCCCGGGGUGAGGGUCUGGACCGCCUCCUCGACCUGCCCCCACCCCAGCCCCAGCCCCAGCCCCGCCGUGUCCCCAGCUGUCACGCUGCGCGCAGCGGGCGGGGUCUGGGGUUCCUGGACAGGGGAGGGCAAUGCGUGUCCUUGGGCUGAGAGGAGAGGUGACUCCGGGGGAAGAGGACGAGGCAGAAUGCAGGCCCUGCGGGUCUCCCGGGCACUGAUCCGUUCCUUCAGCUCCACCGCCCGGAACCGCUUCCAGAACCGAGUGCCCGAGAAACAGAAGCUCUUCCAGGUGGGAGGGGCGGGGCUGGGGUGGGGGGAUCCGACGCGCCAGCCGGAGCGCACAGAGCAGGGGGCAGGCGGGGCGCCCUCAAAGGAGCAGCCGGCAUCCUUCUCAUCAGACACCCCCACAUCCAGGAGGACAAUGACAUCCCGUUGUACCUGAAGGGCGGCAUCGUUGACAACAUCCUGUACCGAGUGACAAUGGGGCUGUGUCUGGGAGGCUCCGCCUACAGCAUGUACUGCCUUGGCUGGGCCUCCUUCCCCAGGAAUUAAGACCAGGAAGCCUGGGGGGCCUGAGGGACUUGAACAAGUGUCAAUAAACGCUGGCCUCUGUG